UGUGUUCUGGCGCAUCCCCGACGCCAAGUUCCCUGUCCCGAUUCGCCUUGAAUCGCCAGAUUGUUUGGCUACUGGAUCUCCCCGCCAUGGCUGUUUCUUCCCAGAGCUUCCGCGUCGGCCUGGUUGAAAAGUUUGCACACCUCUUUCGAAACAAGAUCAUAUGCAUAGCCCAGAUGAUCUGCUAGAUCUUCUGCAUAUGGGCCUCAGCCCACUUGCGCACCAGCUUCUUCUUCGCCCGGCAUGCGACAGCCUAUUAUCUACCGCUGUCUCGGCGCAGCAUUUGCUUCUUCCCGGAUAGGAUCACGAAGUGGUGUGGUGAGAUACGACAAGUUCUUCUGCAGCUUUUCACAGGCGAGC